rnacentral:rRNA from 1 species
UACGGAGGGGACUAGCGUUGUUCGGAAUUACUGGGCGUAAAGCGUGCGUAGACGGUUAUUUAAGUCGGGUGUGAAAGCCCCGGGCUCAACCUGGGAAUUGCAUUCGAGACUGAAUAGCUAGGGUACGGUAGAGGGAAGCGGAAUUUCCGGUGUAGCGGUGAAAUGCGUAGAUAUCCUAAGGAACACCGGUGGCGAAAGCGGCUCACUGGACCUCUUCUGACGCUGAGGCACGAAAGCUAGGGUAGCGAACGGG